rnacentral:lncRNA from 1 species
AAUCUCCCACCAAUCAACAGUUGAUCAAGAAAAAAGCAAAGCAACACAAACAAAAUUUCUCAGAACUAUCAAAACCCAAAUGGCCAAAGAAGGUUUAGGGCUUGAAAUCACAGAGCUGAGGCUGGGGCUAUCCAGUGGUCCAAGAUUGGUGGACAAAAACGAGAAGAAAAGGGUUUUUUCACAGAUUGCUGGCGGAGAUGGACAUAAUAAUAGCACAUCCAGUGAUGACGACCGGAAAAGCGAAACGAAGAACCAAGUUGUGGGGUGGCCUCCGGUGUGUUCUUACCGGAGGAAGAUUAAUAGCUUAAAUGAGACGUCCAAAAUGUACGUCAAGGUUAGCAUGGAUGGAGCUCCUUUUCUUCGUAAAAUUGACUUGAGCAUACACAACCAGUACGCAGAUCUUGCCGUGGCAUUGGAGAAGCUAUUUGGUUGUUUUGGCAUCGGUGAGUAGUAAUAUUCUGCACAAUUGAAUUUAAAUUGGUCUUUACUGUUUAAAGUUUUAAAUGUUAAGCUCUUAUAGCAUGAAACUAAACUUAUACAUAUAGAAAUUUUAUGGGAAAACAUUAAGGGGUGUUUGGUAUCCUAUUCAAAUAGGGAAUUCAAAAACUUUGAUUUUUCUUUAAAAUAAGGAGUUCUUAAAUCUAUUUUUAAGAUUCAAAAACUUGUUUCGUAUGCAACUUGAAAACUGUUUUCAAAUCUUAAAAAUUUGAGAACUUGUGGGUUGUUAAAAAAAACUGAAAAAACAGAUAUUUUUUGUUUUUAAUAAUUGUGGUGUUUUUUAGUUGUUCUUGAGUUUGAGUUUUUGAAAAUAGGGCUACCAAACAGGUUUUCUUUGUUUUGGACUCAAAUUCUGUUUUUGAGUUUAAAAAGUUGAAUUCAAGUUGAAUACCAAACAGGCUCUAAGAUAUUUAUAUGAAGAACACUAUUUUAUUUUUAUUUUUAUACCACACUUUUGUAUAUAUAUAAUUAGAUAUGUCAAAUGAGUUGUGCUCUGAAAAAAUAAACAUGGUAAAAGAAGCUGAUUUCUUCAAUUUUAAGAAGAAAAAAAAAUAUAGACAAUACUUCCCUCCUUACCUUCUAUUGUGGCUCAACCACAAAGUGACAUGUGUCCUCUAUUUUUUAAUUGUAAAAAAAAUUCCGUUUUGACAAUUCAAAAAAGAAGACACAUGUCACUUUAUGAUUGAGUCACAAUAGAAGGUAAGGAGGAAAGUAUUGUCCAAAAAAUAUUGCACGAACACAUAAAGCAUCACAAAAUUCAAAAAGAAAAACAACUAAAGAAAAUGGUAUUAAAAUUUUGUGUAUGCGUUGACAGGCGAGGUGUUGAAGGAUGCAGAGAACUGCGAAUUUGCUCCUAUUUAUGAAGACAAAGAUGGAGACUGGAUGCUUGUGGGAGACGUCCCUUGGGAGUAAGUGUUUCAAACCAAGCUUCUUUACUACUUUUGAUCCCAACUUGUGUGCACUAAAAUUCUAGUUAGACAUAUGGAAAUGAAUUCUUUAUUAGUUUUGACAUUGCUCAAUUUUAAAUUUUAUAUAAAAGUCUAACUAACAAGCAGAGGUGUUAGAUGGCCGAGAUGCAAAAGUUCAGAUACAACCUUCGAGAAGAGAAAAAUCUCUCCCUAACCCAAUUGAUACGAGUCAAUUGAUGACCUAAUUGAGUCAAGUCUCCAUGUUGACUAAGCGAAAGACUUAAAAAAUUUAUAAAGAGAGAGACUAAACACCUUUCAUGUUAAAUUAAGUAGUGCACAUGAGCUCAGUCAACUUGAUUAGAGCGAACUUCCUUGAUCCAAGUUCGAAUCCCCCUCUUUAUAAUUUAGAUUAUAUUAAAAUAAAUUAUCGCUUGUAUAAAAUUAGGAUUGAUCUAGAAAUGCAUGCAUUUGAAUUUGCAUAUACGGUUCAUCUGAUAAUAAGAUCUUUAGUAAUUGUAUGACAAAUCAUCAAUCAAUUCUUAGAGGGUCAAAAUUGGUUGCUAAUUAGUCGUAAAGUGUAAAGGGUUAAUUAACACAAGUCCACAAAGCCGGCACCAAUUAGGCAUGCAUUCUAUUAAUUUUGUCGAUUUGAUAAAGAUAUAAGGGACAUAGAAUUAUAUUAGUGUCCUUCCAUAGUUUCUCACAUUAUUCGAAUAUCUUACGUUGGACCCAUAGUCAUACUACCGACACAAGCAUUUCAUAUAAUGAUGUCGGGGACAAUAAUACCAAAAUGUCCUUUGACACCAUAAGGCAUAGUCAUGGCAGUGCAUUAUUCUGAGGAGAGAAAAUAAAAGGUACUUUUAUUUUACCACAUUUCCCAAGUCAAAAAAUUGUAUCACAUACCAAUUGGAGAAAAGAAAAAGGAAAAAAUAAAAAACAAAUGAAUCAUAUGUAGUUUAUAUAUAAUUAUAUGAUAUGACUGUUCAUGGUUUAUCUUAAGACCUUGUACUUUUUCAUGAAUGAGUCAUGGAAGUGUCCCUGCCACUCACAUUUGUGUUUUGGAUAGUGUCUUUUUUGCUAUCUUUUGCACUCUUGUAAGGUACAGCAUCUGCUCCAACAACAAAAAAAUAAGUCGUGAAAGUGUUGAUUGUUACUUAAAUAUAAAUAAAAAAUGAUUUAGAUCUCAACAGUUUUCUUAACUAUUAACACCUUUCAUAAAAUUAACGCUCGUGAUAUUAUAAGAUCACGCGGAACUCACAUCAUGAUCAUGAGAGUCUAUAACAUCAUUCAUUUUGUUUGUAGCAUCAUGAUAAUUCAGCAUAGAUACAUAUGUAUUUACCUACAGCCUUGGAUCUCUCUACCCAUAACUAAUCGAUUUUGAAUUAGAGGAUCUUAUUUGAAUUAUAUCAAAUUGGUAUAAACCAAAACAAAAAAAUUGAAGUAAAUAUUCCAAUAACUUAUAUUUGUCAUUUGCAGGAUGUUUAUUGAGUCAUGCAAGAGGCUGAGGAUCAUGAAGAGAUCGGAUGCCAAGGGAUUUGGACUGCAGCCCAAGGGCUUCCUCAAGGCAACUAUGAAAGAUGAUCCUAAAUAAUCUCUUCCCAGAAGAAGUCGAAAAUGGAGAUCGAUUUGACUGCAUUUGAUUUCCUCAUCUCAUGAUAUGUAUGCUUUUUUUCUUUCUUUCUUUCUUCAUAUAAUCAGUAGUUAAUUGCUGGCUUUAAGCAGAAAGCUCUUGUUUUAAUUACAAACGUGAAACUUUGAUGUUAAGAUUGGUAUAAGGCACUAGAAAUUAAGGGGAGAUCAUUUUCCUCCACCUUCAUCAUUUCCUUCAUAUAUGUGUUUAAAACGACAGUUCAUUCCACUGUAUUUUUUACUAGUUUCUUGGUGCUUCAGAUUAAUGAUGAAUUCUAGUUCUCGCUCAAAUAUGAUAAACUUUUCUCUGUUCCUUCCUUUCAAGAAUCCAUAUACAACCUGAGAUACAACUAUUCUGAUAAAUUGUAGUAUAAUCUUCCUCACUAGUCAUGCAUAAACCAGUGUGGCUGCUUGUAAGGGGACCUUGCUAUAUAUAUACGUCAAGUUAGGUUCCCAUCCAUCAAAGAAAAGCCCAACUAUUCUAACACAAGUAAUUAACCGUCCAAGCUUAACAACAUAGGAAUCCACAACAUAUAUAGGACAUAGAAUCCACCUCCCAUGUAGUAACGAGCACAUAAUUACCUUUCUUAUUAAUAUAUCACGAGUUUACCUAUGAACAACACAGAACAGGCCCAUAUGCCAAUGAAUCGAGUCUAAAACCGAACAUAUCCCUUCUUUAUUGUUGAUCAUUUAAUUACUUUCAUUAGUAAUUAAACAUGACGAGGUGGCAAUGAGUCGUAUCGUUAGGUUCGAGUAGUUUUAGGUUAUUAGGUCCAAAAUAGGUAACAUGUUUAACAAAUUAUUGAACAUGUCACAUGUUUAACAGGUAAUCCAUUUACACAAAACUUAAUCAAAAACAUUGUUUAGUACAAUCGAUAGUCUAAAUUACAGGAGAAGGGGUUUCUCACACACACUACCACUACGGUGUUACAGGGAUUCGAACCUAAAAUUACUAGUCUACAAUUCAAUGUCAUUUUCCACUGGACUAGACCUUGUUGGCUAUUCAAAAAAAAAAAAAAAAAAGUUAAAAAGUUGGGUAGAAUUUUCAUUUGGGUGGGUUUAAAUCCACUACCUUAGUAGGGUUCAUGAUGGAAUAGAAUAGAACAUAUCAAUAUAUGCAUGUCACAUAUUUAUUAUUAUUAAUAAUAAUUUAAAAUUAAAUAGUAAACGAGUUAAGUAGGUCAUUUUGUAGGUUGGCGGGUUGACAAAAAACCCAAUAGAUUAUUAAAUAUGUCAUGAUGGGUUUAUCGGAAUUUGACCUGGAUUGAACCCGAAUUUAACUCACAAUUUUAAUCGUGCGGAUUGAUCACCUAAUUUUCUGUGCAAAUUUCGAAUCGUUUAACGGAUCAUGUUGGAAAUUGUCACCCUAGUAAUGACCAUAUACCGCAGAUUUUGACUACAUUGUCUGUUAAUCACAGCUCUGAUGAGACUUGUGAAAUUAAAAAGGGGUGGACCAAAGUGUCUGCUGCGGUAGGGUUAUUCGUUUGAAAAGGAAGGCAAGGGAACAAGAAAAUGAUGUAACUGCGCAUUGCUGUUAUAUUAUUCAUUUGAAAUUAAGGCUAAAGUUAAUCACUUUUUACAUGGUUUAGAGUGGCUGGUGGUUUUUGUAAAGGGCAUUAAAGUAAAUCCAUUAUCCCCAAAAGAGAGACUUUUUCAGCCUAAUUUUAGCGCAUUUCCAUCCAUUUGUCAUGACAAAAGGCAAGAGGAUGCAAUGGUUGUUACUAUUCAUGUGAAUAGUGCUUGCUCUUGCAAUUUUUUUGUUGGUUUUCCACCCAUUGCUAUAGCAACACAAGGAUAACCAUCAUUCACAUGAGAUAUGAGGAGAAGAAUUUGUAUAGAAUUUUGGUGUAAGAAGUGAAGAAUAUGGCUAGGUAUUUAUUAUAUAUACAAAAAUUCUGAAAUUUUUGGUAUUUUUUUCCUUCUUUUUUUUCAAUUUUUUUGUUAUUUAAAUUGGCUUAUGAUGUCAGCAUUAGGCCUGUUUGCCCAAACAAGUCUUGCCUUUACUGGGGGGCCUCUUGCUAGGGUUGGGGCUUCCCACUGGAAGUGCUUUUAGAGGCUGAAUAGAACUUGAUCAACUUAUCAAAGAAAAUGAGGGUCUUGCCAAAAAAAUAAAAAUAAAAGAAAAUGAGGGUUCAAAGAGAAGCACCAUUGUACUUAAUCAAACAAUGUGCUUAAGUUCGCAGGUGUGGGUAAAGCAAGUUGGCCAAUAAGUUAAAAUCUAUAUUAAAGAGUGAAAACAUAAUGAAAGAAUCCCUAUUUUCCCUUGAUAAAAUAAUAAAAAUUAUUUUAAAAUACUUAUAAUUAGAAGUAUUUAAGCUAGCUAUGAACCAAUUAACAUUUGGUUUAGUUAGAGCAUCUCCAAGGGAAGACGCAAAAGAGUAAGUAAACCUCAUUUGUCUUGCCACAUCAGCAUUUUCAUGCUCCAAAGGAAGGGGCAAAUGGGUAGGCAAAAUAUACUUUCUCUCCCCAACAAGGCAAUAUUGCCUACUUCAAAGUAAAGAGAUAUAUUAGACCCCACUUGCUUUUUAUAAUAAAAUACCAUAUCCGCUCUCUCACCUACUUUCUAUAAAAUAUAAUAGUAAAUGUAAGAGAUAAAAAUAUAUAAUAUAAUAAUGGUUUGUAGACUUUCAUUGCUUAGUCCCUUAAAGUGACCAACUUUUUUCACGAGACAAAUGGGUAGGCAACAUGUCACCAAGGUUGUUAUAGUAUAAUUUUGCCUAUUUCAUUUGCCUCUUUCCUUAGAGAUACUUUUAAUGAUAGUUGUUUUUCUUCGUUGGAGAAAUCUUAAGUUCGACUCACACUAAUGCGCUAUAUCAUCAGGAAUUUGAAUUUAAUACCGUACUUUAACGAAAUCAACAAACUUGUCAGCUAAAUCUAGGAGACAUGCUAAACAUCAAAUUUUCUCAUCUCUUGACUUUAAACUACAAAGAAAAUUAACAAGUGGAGAACUUCUAAAGAAAAACGUCAUGUUCUCAUAUUCUUUGCAUGCAUAUAAAUUAAUUGUGUGAUUCUUAGGCACAUGAUUAGUGCAUAGCAUAAUUCCAGGUACAGAAUCUUUUUGGUCUCAUCUGCAUUCACACAUGUCCCGAUAGUUUGGUGCAUAUGUAGCAUUUACGAUUUAUAAUAUAAAUCCAACAUUGAAUCUUAAUUUAGAUAUUAUCAUUCUAAUUCAUAGAUAUUAUCAAUGAGAUCCAUAACAUUGUUUUGGGUCAUUCGAAAAAUUUAAUCAACCCCCCAUGAUCCUAAACAAAUUUUGCAGAUAUGGAUGAAUUUUUCUGACUUCCAACUCUACAAAUCUGCCUUCCUCGAAUUUAGCCUCAGAUAACUCAAAACAAAGAGUAUGAUUUGGUACAUUGCAUGAGGUCCAAUAUUUAUGGCAUGUUUACUUAUUAGUAGUAGGUAUGUCAUUCAUGCUCCUUCUUUCUCAUGUGUUUACUAACAUGGUUAUUAAUAAAAUGAUUCUAAUUCUUUACUUCUGCUGCGUUUACUUACACAUACGAAAUAAAAAAAUUAUGAGAGUUCCAUAGUAAAAUCUAUAAUCAAAUACCCUCAAAAUUAUGAGAGUAGUUGAUCCGAUUCCAAUUCCUUAUUCCUAAAUUCUUAAUUUGUAAACUAAUAUCAAUUCUAAAUUCUGAUCACCUCAUUUCAUUUCUUCUCACUGAGUUAGAUUCCUUGAAGAACGUUGUAUUGGGGUAUCUUCUCGACCAUCAUAUUGUAAAUAUCAUCAUUUUACAGGGGCUAAAUUGUCAUCUAAUGGGGAUGAAAGAAUUUUGAACCACCGGACUUUGGAUUCUUGAGAAUGAUAGGAAAUUACCAAUUCCUUGCAGAAGAAUCUGUCUUAUCAAAACUAAGAAGGUUCCAGUAUUGGGUGAAACAUAUGAGAUUGUUUUUGUUUUUGUUUUUUUCCAAAUUAGAAAGGGGAAAGGGAGAAAACUCAUACACACGAAAUCACUUGGAAACACACUAAAAAUAUGGGCCAAUUCAACUAAUUAACACCUCACUGAUGGUGAAACAUAUGAGAUUAGUGCCCUUUUUCUUUGUCAACUUCCAAAUGUAUUUUAUAUACACCAAUCUUUCCAUUCACAGAAGGGUGUGUCAACAUACUUUUUUAUUAUUUAUUAUAGAGAUAUUUAUACCAACACCCCUUAAGAUUUUCUGUAUUUUCACAAAAUCCCUUGAGAUUUUAAAAAUUACACGAACUCCCCUUUAAUUAGUUCUUAAAUUAUUUUCACAAAAUCCUUUUUCAUUAAUAUCUAUAUAUAGAAUAGAUAAUACCUAAUUUUCAUGAUGACAAGGCAUAUAUGUACAUAUACCAAUUGAUGUAUGCCCUACCACAUACGUGUUUGCCCCUUUGGCUAACCAAAUAAAGAAGGUAUCUAGCUGUUUCAAAGAAGCUCCAUGUGAAUGAGGUAUUGCCAUCAUGGAGAGCAUGAAAAUCAAAAUGUUCAUAAUAAGAAAUAGGGGUCCACUAAGUGGUAUAUCUUGCUACAUCUGCUGCCUACCUUCUACUUGGGGACAUGAACUUUCGACUUUGCUGGCUCCAUUUCAACAAAGACAAUUCAAUACAGAUGGGUUUCUUUGGAAAAUUCAAAUUGGAUAGACAAGUUGAGAUGCCCCACUACAACGAGAGAACUUCUUUAGGCAUGCACUUUCUUCUUUUUUCUCCCUUUCAUCAUUUGGUUGAAUGCAAUUGUAUAGCAUUCUGCAUUAUUUUUUCGACAAAAAAAAUUCUUGUAGCGGGUAUGAUACUCCAUACAAGAUUUAAUGAUUAAACUGUUAAAUAUCUUCAACAUUAAUUCAUAUUAGAAAAUGAAAUGCUCAGCAACAAAUUAUCAAUCUAACAAAACAAAUUUAAUGAGACGUGAAUAUUGUAAUACCAUAACAUAUUGACUAUAUAAUUAGAGUGAUGUUAUUUCCACCCCUGUCCUGUUUCUCUACUCACCUUAUCUUCCUAUCCACCAUUAUUCCUAAAAUACUCUUUAAUUAUUCAUUCAAGCCAAUUCUCUUUGCUAAUUAUUAGUAAUUGAGAUAUGAAGAGAAUCAAGUUGUGUUUGACGGACUCAAUAUAUAUCUUAGUCUAAUAUUUUAGUUUUAUGAAUCUUUUAGGUUUUUUUUCUUUUGUCAAACGAUAAAAUAAAUAGGUUACGUGAAUUGAGAUUUUUUUCCUAAGUUUAUAGAAGUUAUUUUACAACCGGGUAGUUGUGGUUGUGGUUUUAAAAAGAGUGCCAAUUAAUUAUUUUUUAAAGUCUUUUUCUUUUUAAACAGUAUAGGUGGUUGUUGAUUUAAAUAUUAGGUUGGUAAUUUUUAUUAAAUAAAAUUCUUAGUGCAAAAUAUUAAGUGUCAAGUCAAACAGUUGGGCAAUUUCUUUAUUAUUUGAAAUAAAAUGAAUAAAUAAAUAGAUGAUACCAGAAGGGGAAGGCCAGACAGGAGGCCCGGAGAUCCCGGUAUGAGCAAACCGAUUAUCAACUGUAAACCGCGGGCGGAAACCGGUGGAACUGCACACGUGUCGGCUAUCGACAAGCAAACACGUUCACAUGAAAAAUGUUAGGUGGGUCCCAGAGCUCUAAACUCUCGAGUUUAAGUCAUUUUGGGGCCCCACAUGGAAAGUUCCAUAAAGUUGACCUGUAGACAAGAACCACGGCAUGUGGGUCCUGCUUGGCCCCACGCGGGCAUUGAUGGCUUGCCUUUCCUCUCUCUUCACGGCUCCCUUCAUCUUCUACUAGAUAGUCGGUCUUUUUUGUGUUCUACAAAGGAAGGAGCAGAGAUAUUUCUUUUGAGCUGCAAAAAUAUUUGUUGUCUAAGCUAAUUAGAAAAAACAUAUAUAUAUAUAUAAUUAUUGGAAGCCUUUUGAAUUUGAAAUUUUAUAAGAAUUUCAUUGCAUGGGAAUGUUUGCAAAGCACCGCCGAAAAUUAAAAGAAACUAUCAAAUGAAUUGUAACCAAUGAUUCCAUAUUUAUAUGGUUUUAUGUGAUUUUCUACAAUAUUAUUUUUAGCUUUUAUUUUAGAAACUUUUAAUUAGAAAUGAGCAAGAAUUUGCAGAUCAACCGAAACAUGACAACUAGAACUAGGAUGACACAAAUCUACUAAAAAUAUGUCGAAACUGCACAACAUUAAAACAUUAACAAAUAAAUUUGAUGUGUCGACCAUGGAACAAGCCCCCGGUUUGGAAUCCCCCCCUUCCACCGAAAAUUGACGAAUACCUUUAUUAGCAGCCAAAAGCAAUAAGUCAUAGGCAAGUGUCUCUUUACUUGAAAAUAAAGAAAAAACCAAGCAUUUGAAAUUUUUUUCCAAUCCACACACACAAGAGAGACUUUAUAAAGCCAAUCUUAAUUUUAAGUAGGUUGCUUGGUUUUUCUUUCUUGUCACUAACUUACAUUAUAUGACAAAAAUAGGUUUGAUUUUAUAAUGGUAGUGGUAUUUUUAAUGCUAAUGUUGAAAAACAUAAAACACAUUUUGUUUUACGAGGUUGAGUAAGCUUUUUUUAUGAUAAUCGAUUCAUUCAAUGAAUUGGAACACACCAAAUACAUUAUUAAACUACCAACCUUUUAAGUGAUGUGUGCGCAUAUAAAUUAAAUAGGCCAAAAAGCGUUUUUAUAGAGAAUCAUUUUUCUAAAUAAUCACUUCAAAUGAUUCAAAAUGAUUUUAUGAAGAAGCGUAUAGGUGGUGUUUAUGUCCAAAAUCACUUAAAAUUAUUUAAAAUAAUUAUAUAGAUAAUUACAUGAGAGAUGAUUUUUGUCGAAAAUAAUUCUGACCUAUUUAGAAUCACACUCAAACAAAACUUAAACUCUAGCAAAACAAAUAUUUUACUAUGAAUUAUUUACCGCCGUUUACACGUUUAUACUGCUUAGUAGCCAUUUGUAUUGUAUAUUAUAUGAAUUAGCAGUAUUAAAAAAUAAAUAAAAUAAAAUAAAAUAAACUAAACAAUAAAUAAUAAAAAUUGACUAGGUCGGAAUUGGACCGACCGGGGGGCCCCAAGCUUUCAGCUUCAUUCAAGCAUAGAAAUCACAACCCACACGCUUCCGUCACACACUACUACCACCAACAUGGACGAAUCACAGCCGCUCUUUCCGAGCCACGUGUCAUCUACCCACUGGCGGAAUCAUUUUGCCGGCCACAUUCUCUCCCCCUUAACAUUAUAUAUAAGCUGCUCUGCACACAGAGCCGGCUAAAGUUGUUGGUCCAUCAAAUUUACAAGCAAAGCAAAGAAAAGCAUUCGAAACAUGUCACCGGCAAAUGAGCAGCAGACGCCGGCCGGCUUGAACUACGACGAUACCAAGUUGACCUUGGGGUUGCCUGGCUCGGGGUCUAAGCGUGGAUUUUCAGAGACCAUUGAUCUUAGUCUUGGGAGCUCAAGCUCAUCGUCGUCAAGAUCAGGGGUUGAAUGUUGUGAUCAAGAUUGUGCUGAUGGUGAUGGGGCCAAAACUCAUAAGCCUCCAGCAGCAAAGUAAGACUGCCCACAUGAUUUUUUUUUGCUUAACUAAGUGAGAAUUGAAAUGGGUUUUCUUUAACCUUUGAGUUUACAAUGUGUUUGAUGAAAUUAUAUGAAAUUAUAUGAAAACUGAAGUUUGAUGGUCAACAUGUUUUUUUUUAUUUUUUGUAAAAUUAUAUGAAAUUUGAAGUGGGGUUUCUUUAGUUUUCAUGGUCCUCAUUUUUUUUGGGUACAAUUACAAGAAAACUGAAAUGGGUUUUCUUUGAUUUUUAAGUUUACAAUGUGUUUGAUGGAAGUUCUGUGUGAAUAUUUCAGGUCACAAGUGGUGGGGUGGCCGCCAGUGAGAGUGGCAAGGAAGAACUUGAUGAAGACGUGCAAGUACGUGAAAGUGGCAGUAGAUGGAGCUCCAUAUCUGCGCAAGGUGGAUCUUGAGAUGUACAAUAGCUAUCAGCAGCUGUUGGGUGCUCUUGAGGACAUGUUCUCCUUCUUGACCAUCCGUAUGUAUCUUAUCUCAUCAUAUCUCUUCUAGAUUUGAUCUUCUUUGUAAAAAAUUAAAAACCUAUGUGAUAAUUUUCAUGUCAGGAGUUAAUGGUUGAUAUUUACUGUUGAUGCAGGUAAUUAUUUGAAUGAGAGAAAGCUCAUGGACCCUGCAAAUGGAGUGGAGUAUGUACCAACUUAUGAGGACAGAGAUGGGGAUUGGAUGCUUGUAGGAGAUGUACCAUGGAAGUAAGAUUUCAAAUAAACCCUAACCAUCUCUCCCCGAAAUGUUAUUAGACUGUGAAUUAAGACCACACACUCAAACGUUAAUGGUUCUUAUUCAUAAUCUGACAACAUAUUACUUGUAUGAAAAAAUUUUCGGCCAAAUAUAUAUGCCUGGGGAUUUUAAUUUUUCUUUGUUUUACUAGAUCGUGCAUAUUUACUUAACAUCAAUCCUGUCUUUUUUGUCUUUGAACAGAAUGUUUGUGGAAUCAUGCAAGCGGCUCCGGUUGAUGAAAAGCUCUGAGGCAGUUGGAUUAGCUCCAAGGACACCUCCAAAAUCCACAAGCACGAGUUGAAAGACAUGCCUUCUACAUAUGAUAAAGAGACUGAAUGAAUGAAAAAAAUAUAUGCAUGUACAGAGGCUUUUUCUUGUUGGUAGGGGGGUUUUGAUUAG